AUUGAACGCUGGGCGGCAUGCCUUACACAUGCAAGUCGAACGGUAACGCGGGGCAACCUGGCGACGAGUGGCGAACGGGUGAGUAAUAUAUCGGAACGUGCCCAGUAGUGGGGGGAUAGCCCGGCGAAAGCCGGAUUAAUACCGCAUACGACCUACGGGUGAAAGGCGGGGGGAGUCGCAAGACCUCGCGCUAUUGGAGCGGCCGAUAUCAGAUUAGGUAGUUGGUGGGGGUAAAGGCCUACCAAGCCUACGAUCUGUAGCUGGUCUGAGAGGACGACCAGCCACACUGGGACUGAGACACGGCCCAGACUCCUAC
rnacentral:rRNA from 1 species